AACGAACGCUGGCGGCAGGCCUAACACAUGCAAGUCGAACGAAUCCUUCGGGAUUAGUGGCGGACGGGUGAGUAACGCGUGGGAACGUGCCCUUUGGUUCGGAAUAACUCUGGGAAACGUGUGCUAAUACCGGAUGUGCCCUUCUGGCGAAAGAUUUAUCGCCAUUGGAGGGGCCCGCGUCUGAUUAGCUAGUUGGUGAGGUAACAGCCCACCAAGGCGACGAUCAGUAGCUGGUCUGAGAGGAUGAUCAGCCACACUGGGACUGAGACACGGCCCAGACUCCUACGGGAGGCAGCAGUGGGGAAUCUUGCACAAUGGGCGAAAGCCUGACGCAGCCAUGCCGCGUGAAUGAUGAAGGUCUUAGGAUUGUAAAAUUCUUUCAGCGGGGACGAUAAUGACGGUACCCGCAGAAGAAGCUCCGGCUAACUUCGUG
rnacentral:rRNA from 1 species